AAGAGACAGCAGUAGCCGCGGGAAUACGAAGGGGGCUAGCGUUGUCCGGAAUCACUGGGCGUAAAGCGCACGUAGGCGGACUUUUAAGUCAGGGGUGAAAUCCCAAGGCUCAACCUUGGAACUGCAUUUGAAACUGGCAAGCUAGAGUCUUGUAGAGGGGGGUAGAAUUCCAGGUGUAGCGGUGAAAUGCGUAGAGAUCUGGAGGAAUACCGGUGGCGAAGGCGGCCCCCUGGACAAAGACUGACGCUCAGGUGCGAAAGCGUGGGGAGCAAACAGGAUUAGAUACCCCUGUAGUCCCUGUCUCUUAUAA
rnacentral:rRNA from 1 species